rfam:Otolemur garnettii contig175232, whole genome shotgun sequence.
AGACUGGAUUCCUUAGAAUCCAACUAUUGAUAUUUACAAGAGAUAU